rnacentral:ncRNA from 1 species
AUUCUCAGGGCGGGGCGAAAUUCCCCACCGGCGGUAAGCGGGCUUUCCCGCAAGCCCGCGAGCGCCGUCCGCAAGGCCGGGUCAGCAGAUCAGGUGCGAUUCCUGGGCCGACGGUCACAGUCCGGAUGAAAGAGAAU